CCGGGCUGCGGAGUAUGGAGCCGGCGGCGGGCGGCUUCUCGGAGGAGCAGUUCCGGGAGGCCUGCGCAGAGCUCCAGCAGCCCGCGCUGGCCGGGGCCGACUGGCAGCUGCUGGUGGAGACCCUGGGCAUCAGCAUCUACCGGCUGCUGGACCAGAAGACUGGACUGUAUGCAUAUAAAGUCUUCGGUGUUCUGGAGGACUGCUCACCAGCUCUACUCGCAGAUGUCUAUAUGGACUUAGACUAUAGAAAGCGGUGGGACGAGUAUGUUCAAGAACUCUAUGAACGUGAGUGCAAUGGACAGACAGUGGUCUACUGGGAAGUGAAGUACCCUUUUCCCAUGUCCAACAGAGAUUAUGUCUACACAUGGCAGCUGCGAGAGCUGGACAUGGCCGGGCGGAAGAUCUGCGUGGUCCUGGCCCAGAGCACCUCAGUGCCUCAGCUUCCGGAGAGGCAGGGGGUGGUCCGGGUGAAGCAGUACAAGCAGAGCCUGGCGAUCGAGAGUGAUGGCAAGAAGGGGAGCAAAGUUUUCAUGUAUUACUUCGAUAACCCAGGUGGCCAGAUUCCGUCCUGGCUCAUUAACAUGGUUGCCCAGAGUGGAGUUCCUAACUUCCUGAGAGACAUGGCAAAAGCCUGUCGGAACUACCCCAAGAAAACCUAAGACGAGGAAUUGGGAACAUUGCAUCCACGGGGCGAUGUCUCUGGAAGUGCCACCACCCACCGAUGCCCAGCCUUACUCUCUUUCCGUCUUCAGAGGCCUGCACGUUCUAGCACGUCGUUCCCUGACGCUGGGCUCCCUCGCCUGCUUCCUUUCUCACUCUCCCCACCCUGGGGCUGGCUGCCUCUUCCACUAUUGAAUACAGGGCAGACUAGGGAAACCUCCACUUGUUUAUUUUUAAGAAGGGAAGUCUUCACUAAGGGAACACAAUCAUUCCAUUGUGCCAUUUUAGGGGGAUGGGUGGGUGGAGGGCCGGACAACAAAACGUAAGAGUGACCGUUCCCGCCAAGCUGGCUCCUUCUCAGAAUGUGAUUUCUUCCAGCCCAGGAGGGGCUGCUGGAAGGGGCAUUCCAUUCAGGGUUGGCUUUAAGUGUACCCAAACUGGAAGACAUGUGCCAGUGACCAUUUGUCUGACGCUUUGUUGAGUCGAUGAGGCUGGGGUUUGAGGUGGUGAUCUAGUCCAUCUUUUCUCUUCCCUACUCGUGGAUCAGUAGCUAUAUCUCAAACUAUUUGCAGAAGCAUCACAGGCCUGAGUGAGCACGUAAUGUGGUAACCAUUUUUUUCCCUCAUUGCCUAUGUCUGUUUUUUUCUCUUUUCCAUAUCCCACUGGGGAAAGGCUGCUCAUAUCUCUUUUGGCUCUGCAUUUUACUAGAAACUGAGGCAUCGGGAUGGCUCUGGCAGCUAGCAAAAGCAAAGAUGCUUUGUGCAUAGCAUUGUGAUAAAGUGUCCUUCUAUGCAAUAAGAUGAAUUUCCCUUCUAGAAUGUUUGGAGAUAUAGAAGGGAUAAUAGUUCACAGGUAGGUAAAAUUUAUUUUAGUGGCUUGGUUGAUUCUGCACCAUUUUCUCAGGAAUUCUACCCAAUUUGUCUGACUUUUCCACCACCAAAAGAACUUCCAGUUUCCUAUGUUUUCUCCCGAAUUUUGGUAGGGUAUGAUAUCCUAUAGCCAAAGACAUAGCCUUGAUAAUCUCAGGGAAAAAUUUUAAUCACUGUGUGUAAUGGUACUGAACCUUGAUGAAUGAACAUAGAAAUUCAGGAUGUAAAGGCAGAGGAUAGGAUUUAUUAAAAUGGGAUACUUCAGACUGUGUGUUUUCUUUCUGGAAAAAAAAGCAUAUUCUAUAAUGAAUAAAUAUAGAGAGUGGCUUUAAAAAAAAAAAAAAAAAA